GCCUACUACCCAACAACACAAAUAUCAUCGGUGGAUCUCUCUCCAUCAUCAUUUUCAUCUUGUAUCAACCUAGGGUUUCUUUCUCUCUCUACAUACAUAUCGAUAUCUCCUCCUCCUUCGAUCUGAUCAUCUCUCUCUCUCUCUCUCUUAAAUCGAGUUCUUUGAUUCAUCGAGUCAAUGGACGCGAUCGACGAAUUCGCUCAGGUCGCCGAUUCGAUGCGCCAGGCAUUUGCUUUGCUUGCCGACAAAGAUGUUGACGAAAACUCAUCGUCCUCGCGCCGCCCUUCCACUUUCCUCAAUGUCGUUGCUCUCGGCAAUAUUGUGAGUUGAUUGAUUUCAGAAUCAAUGAUAUAUUGUAGCGAUGUUGAAAUUUGAUGCUUUUGUUUAUUGAUUUGAUCUCUGGAUCUAGCUGCAUUUUUUUGGUCUUGAUUUUGAUUUGAAUAGGUGCAUCUGAGUCAAACGUAGAGAGAAUUGUGUAUCGAUUUUUGGUGAACAAGUAUUUAGGAGAGAACCGAGUCAAAUCAGACAUUUUUUUUGUUGUGUUGAUUGUGUAAUUGCUUAUUAGAUAUCGUAUGAUCUUUGGUUAUUAUUGCUCUCUCAACAUUUUGGUAGUAGUGCCUCAAGUAUUGUUGAUUCGAUGAAUUGAGUAGUAUUGUGAUUGUAAUUUGGUAUACUAGCUAAUGUUGCUGUUCACUUCCUCUAAGCCUUCAAACUUCCUUUAAGCCUUCUAUCAGUGGCAUAUCUUAUCUCCUUGCAGCUUAAUGGAUUGUCUAGCUAGGAAUUGUCUGAAUGCAAUCUUGCCCUUAUUCGCGACAAUUGCCUGACUCAAAGCCCAUAUUGCUCGCGUCACGGGGAUGUUGAGGUUUUUUCUAUUUACAGGCACCAAGAUUGAAAAGUUAAACUAAUCUUUCUUCACUCAAAUUCAUUUUUUUUAUUUUAUUAUUUUUAUUUUUUAUAUCUCAUUCCACAUUAACUUCAUUGUAAAUAGAAUUUGCGUGGAUUAGGAUAUGAAGUAUAGCUGAAAUAUUGUCCUUUCUUUUAUAAUCAUUUUUGUGGAAUGGUUGGUUGGCUGCUUGUUAGUUUGUUGAUGUAAAACAUGGGUCAAUCUCAAGAAAACGUUAUACUAUAAUAUUGUAAAUGUAUAUAUCAAAUACUAUUUGGUCAUGAAUUUCUCCAUUAUUCAUUUCUCAAAUUGUUUGUCAUUGUCUUUAAUAUUCAUUUUCUUUGUUUAGGAAGGACUGUGAUGGAUCAAAACAAAUUCAGAUGGGGUUUAAGUAUAGGUCCAAUCUGCUUUUGUUUUCUUUAUUCUCAGUUAUUAUAUAUUCAAAAUUGGAUGAUGCCAUGAAAGAAGUGGGCACACUGGUGGUGAUUUAUCCUGGUUAACAGGACAAUCAAAUUUGGGAAGAGGCCUUUUUCAGAGUUAGGAAAGAGCUAGGAAAGUGUCCCCCAUUUUUAUUUUUAUUUUAAUAUAUAUUAAAGCCCCCUAUUAAAGUUGGACUGCACUCUUCAACCUUUCUUUCAAGUUGGGUAAACCACAUAUAUUCUUCUCAAAACUUGUUUAGAUUUCAUCUUUGUUUUUCUAUUUCACACUUAAAAAAGUGUUUUAUGCAACUUAUUUUUUAGUUUAAUUGUUGAAAUCUGACUUUAGUAUCAUUAUAUUUUCUUAGUUCUUAUUUUUUGAUGGAUCUGGGAUAAAUUUUGUGGAUGUGUGAUAAACUAUUUCAAUCUCACUAUAUAUAUAUAUAUAUGUUUUAAAAAGUAAAUAAAGUAUUGAACAAUUAUUUUUGUAUUUAUCUUAAUUAAUAAUUAUAUUCCAAUGUUAUGCAAAAUUAUUACAAAUCUCCCUUUGAUAAUAGUAUACAAUGAUCUGAAGUACUAAAAAUAUCGAAUAUAUUUUAAAAUUGGUUAAUAAAAGGGCCUCUGAAAAAUGUUAGCCAUUGUACUAGUUUAUAUUUAGAUAUUUUGAACCUGCUACAAAUCAUAAAACACAAAAUGAUUUAUAUAAUUACACUGUUCUGAAAAUUUUGUCAUGUAGGAUUAAAUUUUUUAUCCCUGCACUGGAAACCCAUGUCAAAGUUCAUUUGGCAUGGGUGGUGGGUUUAAAUUAGCCAAGAUUUACGUGUUCAUUCCUAGCUAAAAGACUCCUGUUUGAGCUCUGCACUUUCAUCUAUUUAUUAUUAUUUUUACUAUAGGUUUUGUUUUACCUUUAUUAGCAUGCUUUAUUAGUUCACAAGUAGUAAUGACAUUAACAGGUUGUGGCCCUAUUGAAAAUGACAAUCAGGACUGUGUUAAAUGACUAAUAUUUCAUGUUUUGUUCCUGUUUGUUUUGUUCUUACUUUUGGUUGGUAUAGGCACCGAUCUUGGAGCUGCCUUGGUAAAUCUGGAAACUGGUGUGCAAUCAUGGGUGUUUCAUUGUAAAAGUAAUGUUUUGUCACUACAACUUGAUCAUUUGGUAAUUAUCCACAUUUAAGAUUCCAUACAAAUGUUUCUAAAUUGUCUAUUUUCACGUCUGGUUCCUUAUUUUUUUGGAUUACUACGUGGAUCACCCUUUCUUUUUUUUUGGUUCGGUCUAGUUAAGAAUUCUGUGGUUACACAAACUUCAUAUUAAAGUAUUUGCAACACAUUAACUUAAAGAAAACUUGACAUAAAACAUACUUUAAAAUCUUAAUUCCAUUAGGUUCCAUGUGGCACCAAUAUGUAAUUCAGAAUUUGCACAUCACGGUUAACAGGCUUUGCAUAAUCAAGUCAACAACUUUUUCCUUGGUAGAUGUUGACUUCAUCUCAAGAUUUAUAAAUAGCAUUACUGUACUUUUAUAUAUUAUCAUUACAUUUUUUAUUUGAUAAUUUUUUAUCUAUUAUCAUUACAUGACCUUUGUCUGUGGCUAACUGACUAUCACUAUAUGAUUUCAAUGUAAUAAACUCAUCUCUUGUUGCAGAGACGGAUUGUUUUAUGUGGUUUAAGAAAUGGAGCAAUUUGUUUUCUGCAUGUUCAUGUCUUGGAAUAAUUAUCAAUUUUUAAAUGGAGAUGACAACUCUCUUCUGACUAUUAAUUUGUUUUCUGCAUGUUCAUGUCUGAUGAUGAGUUAACUGUUGAAAUCUUUUAACAUGUAAAUUUUCCUAUAUUCAAGGGCACGGAUAAAAUGUUUGCAUAACCCUGUUCCUUCUCCUCCUGAUCAUUGUUGCCCUGUAGUCAUAGCUCAUAUUCAGCUAUCUUAAGAUAUUUGGUCCAUUUUUUCCAUGAGAAUUGAUUAUUCAAUCAAAGUGGUUAUUCUCCUUCUAUUGAAGCAUGAGAUGAAGAGUCAGCGUGAUGAGAAAAAGUUCGACUGUAUUUUUUGUCAGAAAUUUCUUGAAGAGAUGCAAAGUAUGGUCAAAGAAUUAAAGAAUUUGGUUUUUUAAGUUUUUUCAUUUUUUAAUAUAUGUAAGCAUAGUUAAAUUUUUUUUAUUUAAUUUAUUUGUAUAUACUUUUGAACAUUUAAUUUUUAUUUAUAAAAUAUAUGACGUUAUUCCA